UGAGGAAUAUUGGUCGAUGGACGCGAGUCUGAACCAGCCAAGUAGCGUGAAGGAUGACUGCCCUAUGGGUUGUAAACUUCUUUUAUAUGGGAAUAAAGUUGUCCACGUGUGGAUUUUUGUAUGUACCAUAUGAAUAAGGAUCGGCUAACUCCGUGCCAGCAGCCGCGGUAAUACGGAGGAUCCAAGCGUUAUCCGGAUUUAUUGGGUUUAAAGGGAGCGUAGGCGGAUUGUUAAGUCAGUUGUGAAAGUUUGCGGCUCAACCGUAAAAUUGCAGUUGAUACUGGCAGUCUUGAGUGCAGUAGAGGUGGGCGGAAUUCGUGGUGUAGCGGUGAAAUGCUUAGAUAUCACGAAGAACUCCGAUUGCGAAGGCAGCUCACUGGAGUGUAACUGACGCUGAUGCUCGAAAGUGUGGGUAUCAAACAGGAUUAGAUACCCUGGUAGUCCACACAGUAAACGAUGAAUACUCGCUGUUUGCGAUAUACAGUAAGCGGCCAAGCGAAAGCAUUAAGUAUUCCACCUGGGGAGUACGCCGGCAACGGUGAAACUCAAAGGAAUUGACGGGGGCCCGCACAAGCGGAGGAACAUGUGGUUUAAUUCGAUGAUACGCGAGGAACCUUACCCGGGCUUAAAUUGCAAAUGAAUUAUGGGGAAACCCAUACGCCGCAAGGCAUUUGUGAAGGUGCUGCAUGGUUGUCGUCAGCUCGUGCCGUGAGGUGUCGGCUUAAGUGCCAUAACGAGCGCAACCCUUAUCUUCAGUUACUAACAGGUUAUGCUGAGGACUCUGGAGAGACUGCCGUCGUAAGAUGUGAGGAAGGUGGGGAUGACGUCAAAUCAGCACGGCCCUUACGUCCGGGGCUACACACGUGUUACAAUGGGGGGUACAGAAGGCCGCUACCUGGUGACAGGAUGCCAAUCCCAAAAACCUCUCUCAGUUCGGAUCGAAGUCUGCAACCCGACUUCGUGAAGCUGGAUUCGCUAGUAAUCGCGCAUCAGCCAUGGCGCGGUGAAUACGUUCCC
rnacentral:rRNA from 1 species